UUAAGAAAUGAAUACUUGAAACAUAUUGUAUUUUCUAAUUUUAAAAAGAUGACGUUUUGAUGACGUCGCAUGGCGACGUUUCAGUACAUUUUGCUUUUUCAGUAAACACUUCAUCUGUUGAUAAAUACUGUGAACGUUUUGUGUAUAUCUAAAUAUAUUUACCUAUUUUGAAAGACAUGUAUAGUAUCAAAACAUAAAAAUACAAAUUGUUUAGUCUCUAGGAGAUCUUGUAAGAUUUCCGCUGCUAUUUUUGCUAAAUAGGUGCAAUUUGGGUACUCGUUGCAAAUUGGGUACCGUUACGUUAGAUUUUA
rnacentral:lncRNA from 1 species